GUUUUUCUUCCUCUGGAGCUGCUCCAAGCUUCUCAACUAGUCCAACCAUGGCUGUCGGAAAAAACAAGAGGAUUUCGAAAGGAAAGAAGGGUGGCAAGAAGAAGACUGUCGACCCAUUUGCAAAGAAGGACUGGUAUGAUAUCAAGGCACCCUCUGUGUUCAAUGUCAAGAACGUCGGGAAGACUCUCGUUACCCGUACUCAGGGUACCAAGAUUGCUUCCGAAGGGCUUAAACAUAGAGUGUUUGAGGUAUCACUGGCUGACCUUCAGGAAGAUGAGGAGCACGCCUACAGAAAGAUUAGAUUGAGAGCUGAAGAUGUUCAAGGAAGGAAUGUUCUCACUAAUUUCUGGGGAAUGAAUUUCACUACUGAC
rnacentral:misc_RNA from 1 species